GGGUUGUGAGGUUAAGCGACUAAGCGUACACGGUGGAUGCCCUGGCAGUCAGAGGCGAUGAAGGACGUGCUAAUCUGCGAAAAGCGCCGGCGAGGUGAUAUGAACCUUUGACCCGGCGAUGUCCGAAUGGGGAAACCCAGUGCAAUUCGUUGCACUAUCGUUAACUGAAUACAUAGGUUAACGAGGCGAACCGGGGGAACUGAAACAUCUAAGUACCCCGAGGAAAAGAAAUCAACCGAGAUUCCCCCAGUAGCGGCGAGCGAACGGGGAGCAGCCCGGAGUCUGAAUCAGCUUGUGUGUUAGUGGAAGCGUCUGGAAAGUCGCACGGUACAGGGUGACAGUCCCGUACACGAAAAUGCACAGGCUGUGAACUCGAAGAGUAGGGCGGGACACGUGGUAUCCUGUCUGAAUAUGGGGGGACCAUCCUCCAAGGCUAAAUACUCCUGACUGACCGAUAGUGAACCAGUACCGUGAGGGAAAGGCGAAAAGAACCCCGGCGAGGGGAGUGAAAAAGAACCUGAAACCGUGUACGUACAAGCAGUGGGAGCACCUUCGUGGUGUGACUGCGUACCUUUUGUAUAAUGGGUCAGCGACUUAUAUUCUGUAGCAAGGUUAACCGUAUAGGGGAGCCGAAGGGAAACCGAGUCUUAACUGGGCGUUAAGUUGCAGGGUAUAGACCCGAAACCCGGUGAUCUAGCCAUGGGCAGGUUGAAGGUUGGGUAACACUAACUGGAGGACCGAACCGACUAAUGUUGAAAAAUUAGCGGAUGACCUGUGGCUGGGGGUGAAAGGCCAAUCAAACCGGGAGAUAGCUGGUUCUCCCCGAAAGCUAUUUAGGUAGCGCCUCGUGAACUCAUCUUCGGGGGUAGAGCACUGUUUCGGCUAGGGGGCCAUCCCGGCUUACCAACCCGAUGCAAACUACGAAUACCGAAGAAUGUUAUCACGGGAGACACACGGCGGGUGCUAACGUCCGUCGUGAAGAGGGAAACAACCCAGACCGCCAGCUAAGGUCCCAAAGUCAUGGUUAAGUGGGAAACGAUGUGGGAAGGCACAGACAGCCAGGAUGUUGGCUUAGAAGCAGCCAUCAUUUAAAGAAAGCGUAAUAGCUCACUGGUCGAGUCGGCCUGCGCGGAAGAUGUAACGGGGCUAAACCAUGCACCGAAGCUGCGGCAGCGAC
rnacentral:rRNA from 1 species